rnacentral:rRNA from 1 species
GCCUGCCCUGUGACUAUAAGUUUAACGGCCGCGGUAUUUUAACCGUGCGAAGGUAGCGUAAUCACUUGUCUUUUAAAUGAAGACCUGUAUGAAUGGCAUCACGAGGGCUUAGCUGUCUCCCAUCUCCAGUCAAUGAAAUUGACCUCCCCGUGCAGAGGCGGGGAUGAUUACAUAAGACGAGAAGACCCUAUGGAGCUUUAGACCUAAAGUAAGUCACGUUUAACAUGCUGUGAUAACAGUGAAAACUUAGUGAUAUUUACUGAAGUGUCUUUGGUUGGGGCGACCGCGGGGUAAAACACAACCCCCAUGUGGACCGGGGAUAUUAUCCCUAAUACUCAGAGCCUCUACUCCAAGUAACAGAAUUUCUGACUUUUCUGAUCCGGUAUAACCGAUCAACGAACCGAGUUACCCUAGGGAUAACAGCGCAAUCCCCUCUCAGAGCCCAUAUCGACGAGGGGGUUUACGACCUCGAUGUUGGAUCAGGACAUCCUAAUGGUGCAGCCGCUAUUAAGGGUUCGUUUGUUCAACGAUUAAAGUCCUACGUGAUC